AAAAAAAAUAGAGAAAAAAAGAGAAAAAUGGAGGGAAAAUGCACCGAAGCUUCCAAAUUAUCACUGUUUUUGCCGUUCCCAUUUUCUGCACGUUUCCGGGGUGUCUGACGAGAAAUUGGCGCUUGCCACUAUGACCUGAAUGAAAAUGUGGUAUGCAGAUAUAC
rnacentral:ribozyme from 1 species